GUCUACGGCCAUACCACCCUGAAUGCGCCCGAUCUCGUCUGAUCUCAGAAGCUAAGCAGGGUCGGGCCUGCUUGGAUGGGAGAAAUCUGUAAGAAGUAUGUGCGUAUGUA
rnacentral:rRNA from 1 species